CCUACGGGAGGCAGCAGUGGGGAAUAUUGGACAAUGGGGGAAACCCUGAUCCAGCGACGCCGCGUGAGUGAAGAAGUCUCUCUGUACGUAAAGCUCUAUCAGUAGGAAAGAAAAUGACGGUACCUGACUACGACUCCCCGGCUAACUACGGUCCAGCAGCGGUGGCAACAUGCAGGGGGCAAGCGUCAUCCGGAUUUACUGGGGGUAAAGAGAGCGUAGACGGCAGCGCAAGUCUGGGGUGAAAUGCCGGGGCCCAACCCCGGAACUGCUCUGGAAACUGUGAAGCUGGAGUGCAGGAGAGGUAAGCGGAAUUCCUGGUGUAGCGGUGAAAUGCGUAGAUAUCAGGAAGAACACCGACGGCGAAGGCAGCUUACUGGACUGUAACUGACGUUGAGGCUCGAAGGCGUGGGGAGCAAACAGGAUUAGAUACCCUUGUAGUC
rnacentral:rRNA from 1 species